GACGGAGGAUGCAAGUGUUAUCCGGAAUCACUGGGCGUAAAGCGUCUGUAGGUGGUUUCAAAAGUCCACUGUUAAAGAUUGAAGCUUAACUUCAAAAAUGCCGUGGAAACUUUGAAACUUGAGUAUGAUAGGGGUAGAGGGAAUUCCCAGUGGAGCGGUGAAAUGCGUAGAUAUUGGAAAGACCACCAAUGGCGAAGGCACUCUACUGGGCCAUUACUGACACUGAGAGACGAAAGCUAGGGGAGCAAAUGGG
rnacentral:rRNA from 1 species